rnacentral:rRNA from 1 species
UCUGGUUGAUCCUGCCAGUAGUCAUAUGCUUGUCUCAAAGAUUAAGCCAUGCAUGUCUAAGUACAAACCUUAAUACGGUGAAACCGCGAAUGGCUCAUUAAAUCAGCUAUGGUUCCUUAGAUCGUCUCAUCCUACUCGGAUAACUGUGGAAAAUCUAGAGCUAAUACGUGCUUACAAGCCCUGACCUCACGGGAGGGGCGCAUUUAUUAGAUCAAAACCAAUCGGGGCUUGCCCCGUCUGCUUGGUGACUCUGGAUAACUUUUGUGCUGAUCGCAUGGCCUCUGCGCUGGCGACGUAUCUUUCAAGUGUCUGCCCUAUCAACUUACGAUGGUAGGUGAUAUGCCUACCAUGGUUAUAACGGGUAACGGGGAAUCAGGGUUCGAUUCCGGAGAGGGAGCCUGAGAAACGGCUACCACAUCUAAGGAAGGCAGCAGGCGCGCAAAUUACCCACUCCCGGCACGGGGAGGUAGUGACGAAAAAUAACGAUACGGGACUCUUUUGAGGCCCCGUAAUUGGAAUGAGUACACUUUAAAUCCGUUAACAAGUAUCUAUUGGAGGGCAAGUCUGGUGCCAGCAGCCGCGGUAAUUCCAGCUCCAAUAGCGUAUAUUAAUGUUGCUGCAGUUAAAAAGCUCGUAGUUGGAUCUGAGGACUCGAAUUGGUGGUGCACCAUACGGUGUUACUGCCGAUUCGGCCUACCUAGUCGGUGCUCGCUCUUGGUGUUCUUAAUUGAAUGCCCUGAGUGCCCGGCAAGUUUACUUUGAAAAAAUUAGAGUGCUCAAAGCAGGCCAUUAGCCGGAAUACUUCAGCAUGGAAUAAUGGAAUAGGACUUCGGUUCUAUUUUGUUGGUUUUCGGAACCCGAGGUAAUGAUUAAGAGAGACAGACGGGGGCAUUCGUACUGCGGUGUUAGAGGUGAAAUUCUUGGAUCGCCGCAAGACGAACAACUGCGAAAGCAUUU